AUGUCCUUUUUAGCUCACCUGGCCUAAAAGGCCAAGUGAGCUUUUCUCAUCACUUGGCGUCCGGCGUCCGUCGUCGUCCGUCGUCGUCCGUCGUCCGUCGUCGUCGUUAACUUUUACAAAAAUCUUCUCCUCUGAAACUACUUGGCCAAAUUAAACCAAACUUGGCCACAAUCAUCAUUGGGGUAUUUAGUUUAAAAAAUGUGUCCGGUGACCCGGCCAACCAUCCAAGAUGGCCGCCAUGGCUAAAAAUAGAACAUAGGGGAAAAAUGCAGUUUUUGGCUUAUAACUCAAAAACCAAAGCAUUUAGAGCAAAUCUGACAUGGGAAUUGUGAAACAGGUGAAGAUCUAUCUGCCCUCAAAUUUUCAGAUGAAUCGGAUAACCCAUUGUUGGGUUGCUGCCCCUGAAUUAGUAAUUUUA
rnacentral:lncRNA from 1 species